rnacentral:rRNA from 1 species
UACGAGGGGUCCAAGCGUUGUUCGGAAUCACUGGGCGUAAAGGGUGUGUAGGUGGCGCGCUAAGUCGGGUGUGAAAUUUCGGAGCUUAACUCCGAAACUGCAUUCGAUACUGGCGUGCUUGAGGACUGGAGAGGAGACUGGAAUUCAUGGUGUAGCAGUGAAAUGCGUAGAUAUCGAGAAGAACGCUCGUGGCGAAGGCGAAGUCCUGGGCAGAUUCUGACGCUGAGGCACGAAGGCCAGGGGAGCAAACGGG